UGCUUUAUGCCCCUUUGACUGCCUGACCUUUGCCUGUCUUUGUUUAUAUUUUUUGCCUUGCCCUCUGGAUUACACAGUCUUAAUAAAACUCUAAACUGCACUUGUGUCUGCCUCAAGACUUGAUUCGUUACAGUGAAGGUACCUGAUGGAUCUACGCUGGGAGCUGUGUUGGAGUAAUCUGACAGAGGAAAGCUGUAGAGUUCUGUCCUCGGUUCUCAGAUCAAACUCCUCCAGACUGAGAGAACUGGAUUAUUACAGAUGAAGGCUGUGCUGCUCUGGCUUCUGCUCUGAGGUCAAACUCCUCAUCACACCUGAGAGAACUGAAUCUGAAGGGUAAAAAUCCAGGAGAAUCAGGAGUGAAGCUGCUCUCUGAUCUACUGAAGGAUCCACACUGUGAACUGGAGACAUUAUACAUUAACUGUAAUAAACUCACCAGGACUGAUGUCUGACAGGAGUCUCACCUCACACCUCGUCUCCAGGAUAAAGCAGUUUUGGUGAAGCAAAGAACCCGUCCCACAUUUCCAGCAGUUUGAGAGCUGAAUCAUUAAACUUAGAGGCAGAGCAGAAACAAAAUCAAGAACAGGCAGAAGGUCAUACACAGGAGAAAUCAACACACGUAACCAAAUAUCUGCUGUACAAAGCAACAGCAACAAUCUGCCCCGGGGAUGGAGACUGGUCGUAGUGGUGAUGCAGUAAAUCUACACUUUACUGGAGAAGCACAAACACAGUCCUGUGGUUUUAAAUGACUCUUGCGCGUUGUUAUGAAGUACUCCCGCGCAUGUCUAUACACUGAACACGUAAUACGCGUGCGCAUGACGUCAUCGUUUUCACAGAUUCUCGUUUUUGUCCAUUUACAUGGAGACGAUAACGGCAUCGAUUUCAAAAACUUGCACUUUGAAACCCGUUUUCCAAAGUUUGCGUUUUCAGGCCCCGAAACGCCGUCGUGUAAACGGUUCUAGUAACUACAGCAAAAUGCUGUUUUUAUUGCUAAAGUUUUUCUGUAAACAAAUAGAAAUGAAACUCAAUUUUUAUGAUUCACACUAUAUUACACUCCAUUCUUCUUCUCACAGAGGACUCUAUUUUGAAAAUAAUCAAGGUUUUUUUUUUUUUUUUUUUUUUUUUUAAAUAAUUACAUUUCAUGAUACAGCUUAUUAUUGCUUUCAAGUUCAGCAAAUAGAAUUUGAAAUCUCAGUUUUUAAUAAUUUAUUACUGGGAACUACAGAGUUUUAAAAACUGUUAAAUUUUUGUAUUUUUUUUAAAGAAAAACAAUCAACGUUCAAUAACAUUUUGACUGUAUGAGUUAUACAUGUAAAACCAAAUGCACUAUGAUACAGUCUAUCAUUGCUACCAACUACAGCAAAUAGAUUUUUAACAACUCAGCUUUUAUAUUUAUUAUUUUUUUAAGAAAAAUAAUUAAAAUUCAAUAAGCUUUUGACUGUAUGAGGUAACAAUAAAUGAGCAAAAACAUAGUACUAAUUUCAUAAAAUGUCAUGAGCAGCUUGAUGCUAAUUAUAGGAAUGCAGAGUAAUUCUGAGUCUUGAACAGUAAACUCUCAAGUGUCAGUGUCAUGUCACAGCAAACCAGCGACCCCGUUUCCCAGAAUGCACCUCAGACUACAAACAUGGCCGACACAAAUUACAACUCUAAACCGACGCACAGACAUGUUCACCUUCUCCAGAAUACUAAUCAGACACACCUGGUACAUUUAUUCAUUUAGUGGACGCUUUCAUCCAAAGCGACUUACAAGUGAGAAAAUACAAGCAAAGCGAUAUCAAGCAGAGAACAAUACACGUAGUGCUACUGUACAAGAUCCAUUAAUUGAGUUCCAGAAGAAGCAAAGUGUGCAGAGUAAAUAUUAUUUAUUUAUUUGUUUUUUUGAGCGGUUGGUUAGGUGUUCAUGGAAGAGGUGGGUCUUUAGCUGUUUGUUGAAGAUGGUGACAGGUUCUGCGGUCCAGAUUGAGAUUCCUAUCUCUCUCACACACACACUUAAAUUGGAGCAGUGAACCAUAAGAUCUUUGAUUACGUCAUGUACAGGUCAGAGGUCUAGAAAUCUCUCUCUCUCUCUCUCUCUCUCCUUUUCCUAUUUAAUAAUUGUUGUUUUACUGGAAUAAUGUACACAUUACAUAUCUCUGUAAUCUUCCCUAUUUGUGGUUGUUCUCGAGUGAAAUAAUCAAGGCCUCCUACAGAACAUAUUAAGUUACACAGGAGCAGUGAUGACAAUAAACAUGACUUUUGGUGCUCAUGAUUAAAUAUGGCAGAUUUAUUAUGAACCCACUACAUUAGAGAAAGAAAUAUUAAAGGUGAAGUGUAGUAGUGCUAGUGCGUGUGAAUAGACUAUCAGUU